UGGGGAAUUGUUCGCAAUGGGCGCAAGCCUGACGACGCGACGCCGCGUGGGGGAUGAAGGCCUUAGGGUCGUAAACCCCUUUCAGCAGGGACGAAAAUGACGGUACCUGCAGAAGAAGCCCCGGCCAACUACGUGCCAGCAGCCGCGGUAAGACGUAGGGGGCGAGCGUUGUCCGGAUUUAUUGGGCGUAAAGAGCUCGUAGGCGGUUGCGUAAGUCGGAUGUGAAAACUCAGGGCUCAACCCUGAGACGCCAUCCGAUACUGCGCUGACUUGAAUCCAGUAGGGGAGUGUGGAAUUCCUGGUGUAGCGGUGAAAUGCGCAGAUAUCAGGAGGAACACCCAUGGCGAAGGCAGCACUCUGGGCUGGUAUUGACGCUGAGGAGCGAAAGCAUGGGUAGCGAACAGGAUUAGAUACCCCGGUAGUCCCUGAGCGGGCUGGCAAGGCGCAU
rnacentral:rRNA from 1 species